GAUCCUGGCUCAAGAUGAACGCUGGCGGCGUGCCUAACACAUGCAAGUCGAACGAAGCGUGCGGAUGGAAUUUCUUCGGAGAGGAAGCCUGCAUGACUGAGUGGCGGACGGGUGAGUAACGCGUGGGCAACCUGCCCUGCACAGGGGGACAACAGCCGGAAACGGCUGCUAAUACCGCAUAAGCGCACAGCUUCGCAUGGAGCGGUGUGAAAAGCUGCGGCGGUGCAGGAUGGGCCCGCGUCUGAUUAGCUGGUUGGCGGGGCAACGGCCCACCAAGGCGACGAUCAGUAGCCGGCCUGAGAGGGUGGACGGCCACAUUGGGACUGAGACACGGCCCAGACUCCUACGGGAGGCAGCAGUGGGGAAUAUUGCACAAUGGGGGAAACCCUGAUGCAGCGACGCCGCGUGAGCGAAGAAGUAUUUCGGUAUGUAAAGCUCUAUCAGCAGGGAAGAAAUUGACGGUACCUGAGUAAGAAGCUCCGGCUAAAUACGUGCCAGCAGCCGCGGUAAUACGUAUGGAGCAAGCGUUAUCCGGAUUUACUGGGUGUAAAGGGAGCGUANGCGGCCUGUCAAGUCUGAUGUGAAAUACCGGGGCUCAACCCCGGGGCUGCAUUGGAAACUGGCAGGCUGGAGUGUCNGAAAGGCANGCG
rnacentral:rRNA from 1 species